rnacentral:lncRNA from 1 species
UAACAGCAAGGAUAGUUAUGAUAAUUUUAUAUGUUUGAAGAGGUGUUUAUUAUAUUUGAAAGUUUAGAGGAGUAUUCAUGAAAUUUACAAGUUUGAUAAGCUUACUAAUGAAAUUGCCCUUUUCUUUAUAUCAAUAAUUAAUUAUAUCAAUAAUUGCAUAUAAUUUAGGGUAAACUUCAAAUACUAAUCCUGUGGUUUCGUACUUUUUUACUUUAAUAUCAUGUAGUUUAAAAAGUUUCACUUUAGUACCCUAUGAUUUUAUUUUUCUCUUUCCACCAGCAUCUCCCUUAACUCUCCAUUAAAUUAUAUACAGAAAAAUUUCAGAUACCCCGCCCUAUGAUUUAUUGAAUAUUCACUUUAGUAUCCUGUGGUUUACCGAAUUUUUACUUUAGUACUCUAUGGUUUUAAUUUUAUCACUGAUAUAAUAGAAAAUUAAUGGAGAGGAUAACAGAAAGAGAAAUUUAUUAAAUUUAUUAAAAUUAAUAAUGAAAUAAUAUAAAAGCUCAAAUAAAAAAAUAGAGGUUAAAGGGNAUUCAUUUUCCUGCUGGUGCCGUGCCAAAGGAUGGACCAUCGGCAGGAGUUACUUUGGUGACAUCGCUUGUUUCACUAUUCAGUCAAAGGAAAGUUAGAGCAGACACUGCAAUGACCGGAGAAAUGACUCUGAGGGGCCUUGUAUUACCAGUUGGUGGCAUCAAGGAUAAGGUAGGUUUUUUUGACCGGUAUACUAUGUUGUGGAAAUAAUGCGAGAGAUACUUCAUUAGGAAUACGUCCCUUGUAAUUAUGUAUCUUUUAAUUUAUACUUUUAAUUUGCUCCUAAAGGUAUUGGCAGCUCAUCGUUAUGGCAUCAAGAGAGUAAUCUUGCCGGAACGGAAUUUGAAGGACCUAACUGAAGUCCCAUCGGCCAUUCUAUCUGGCAUGGAGGUAUUUUUUUCUGCUUUUUUGCUCGGAACUUUUUUAAUGUAGAUUCUUUUGUAAUUAUUUUAAUAACGUUUGAAGAAUUUGAUAAUAGAUGACAACACUUACUAUACUCACUGACUGAUCAUCAUCUUGUCAAAAUGCUCACUAGUUUGACGAAACAGUUCUGGAUCUGAGCACUGAGAAAAUUUGAAUAUUGAUGAUCUAAUGAAACUAUUAUCUCUCGUAACAGUCAUAACUAAUAAUCAUAUCUUCUGUUUGAAUAUGUAGUGGUUGAAUUAUCGAAGUGAUUUUUCUGUUUGAGUUAAAAAUAAUUUUUCUUGGAGUAAUUUGUUUGAUAAAAGCAUCAAAUUCCUGAAAUAGUUGGUUUAGGUAUGUAGUGAAAGAUUGUAUGCUAACUGGCUAGUUUGGAGAUUUCUUCCAACCUAGCUAAAAUCUUCAAAUAUCUGUUAAAAUCUGCAUUUAUUGUAAUUUAUUGGUAUAUCAAAAUCAAGUGAAGCCCUUACAGCAAACGACUAGAAUAUUUAAUGAUGAUUGAUCCCUAGUCCUGUGGUUUUUCUUUUCCAGUUAGAUUUCUUGUUAGAUUGUAAUUGUAGGAUUUCUUAUCCACUUUGAGAUGAUAGUUUCUCUUAUGGUGUCCAAAAACACAUUAAACUACUGCCGAUGCACUAAAGAAAUUAGUUAAAAUUUAAUGAGAACCAUUGAACCCAAAAAAUAUCAUGUUUAAUCUCCUGCUUGAAUGAUCUUUCCAUAUAUUCCUGCUUAGUUUUUGACUACCAGUUAUCUUAACUCUUAUGUGGUUCCUAUUUUUAACAGAUUUUGCUUGUGAAGCGUAUUGAGGAAGUACUGGAACACGCAUUUGAAGGUGGAUGCCCCUGGAGGAAACAUGCUAAGUUAUAGCAUUCUCCAGUGUUCUCCAUUCGUGGAGUAAAUAUUGAUGGAACUGCCGUUUUCGACCAGAUUUAGGGCAUCCUGAUUGACAAUGGCAGAUGCGAUCGUAUCAGCACGCAUCCAACAUGCGGAACCGAGCCAUUGGAUAAGAUAUCUACAGAAAAUAUAAAAUAUGGGCUCAGUAUUAGCCAGUGUAAUGUCCUCGAAAGAUUGACCUGAAUGAGUUAUAUAAUCCCCGCUUUAGAGCAUUAGCCGUUUCUAGCCGAUCCUAUAAUUAUAUUUGGGAUCAAAGGUUUAGUUAUCGUUGUUAUUGCUGCCGCUGCUGCCACAGAGCAUGUAGCUAUCGUUGUGCUACGAACUCCCGAUUUGGCUCAGCAGCUUGUGUAAGGCUAGUCUCUCUGAUUCUGUAUUAUGUAUAAUUUCAAACUGGAAGCGAAAGUCUUAAAUUGUCUCAAAAACAUUGAUGCGUAUGCCAUUGUGGGAUAGGAGCGGUAGUCUCAAACAAAUGAGGCUAACUUUCCCUUGCUCUGUUUCAAUCUUCUCCCUUGUGGUGGUUGUGUGUAUUCAUAUUUCUUAUUCUUUUCCUUUUUAUGUUCGGAUUCUCUCUCGCUUUCCUUCCUAAAAAAAUUUGGCUUCUCUCUUACGAGUUUGGAAUCAAGUUUGUAGUUUAGCGGUGGUUUCCACUGCCACUUUGUAGAAUCAAAGUGGGGGAAUUUAAAUGCUUGUUUGAAUUUUUCCUUCAAAGCAUCCAGGAUCGCGAAACGGGUCGCAAGAGAGAAAUUUGUUAGUCACGCUUAGCAGCAAAAACGAGGUAAGCUCAUUGAGCUAAAGUAAGUUCGAUUUUAACUCAAAAUUGUAGAUAUAAAAUGGUUUAGUUCAAAAGAAUUAUAGAUACCGAAAAUUAAUAAUUUAUUUAUAUUAUAUAUAAUUUGUAAAUUUUUCAGAUAUCAUGAAACAUGUUUAAUCAAUUAAAUUUUAAUUAUUAUUAGAUCUCUAUGCUAGAAUUUUCAGAUUGUGGUCCACAGUGCACUAGGUUCAUGCAACAAUUUCGUAGUUGGAAUCUUAUAAUUCACCAUUGUAAGGUUUAGGCCGUUUAGCCAACCAAAAUGAUAAAAUUAAUGUGAAAAAAAAUGGUCCCGAUAAAAUUAGAGGAUUGCAAAUCAAAAUGAAUUGCCAUAGGAUGGCAAACAAUAUAAAGAAUACCUCUACAAAAUUAUGAAAUUUGGUUUCUAAAUAAUUCCAAUAGCAUAGAUCAUGUGUAACGGAGUCGAUCGUAGGAUCGGAUGCUCUAUUAUCGAAAACAACUUACAAGCACGGAUGCUUCCGUAUUUUCGAAAGCAUAAGAGCCCAGCUCUCUCUCUCUAUAUAUAUAUAUAGGAAAAAUUUCAUAGAUAUUCCUAUAGGAGACUGAAAUUUCAUUAAUAAUCCUCUAAAAUUGAAAAUAUCACGAAUGACCUUCUCAAUUCAAAAAAUACUCAUGAAUGCCCUUACAGGUAAAGUGUUGUUAAAAUCUAACCGAGCAGAUUAUAAAUGGCAUUUCUAUCCCUGUACGGUUCAUUAAGUAUAGGAAGCUGUAAUUGGUAUAUUAGCACUAUUCACAAAUGCCCUCUUAUUCUCUCCACAUAGCAACGAGCCCACUAAGUUGUCGAUAUUUUACAACACCUCAUAACACAACUCCUAAUUGUGAUUGUCGUAAACCAUGCCGAAUUUAGAUGUCAAAACAACCACAUAAUAAAGAUCGAUGAUUUUAUUGAUGCCCAAAUUGGAAGGUAAGUUGAUGUGAUACAUUAGUGUGCAUAUAAAGACUAAAUUACAUAAAACCUCCAUGUCAAAAUCUGAUUUUUCACUUUCCUCCCCUGUCAUUUAAAAACCUACACUUUGCCCUCUUGUAAAAUGAAAAUUGUUCACUUCGGCCCCUGCCGUUAGUAAUCUGUUAGGGUUCCGUUUAUAAAAUAUUAUUAUAUAUUUUUUUAUGCCAAAAAUGCCAUCAGCCUUCUCUUCUGUGAAUGUGAUGAGGGGCAUAAUAGUGAAGGGCAAAAUGGUCAUUUUAUCAUCACAAUUCACACCGUACCCCCUGUGAACAUUUUUCAUUUUAUAAGGAGGCAAAAUGUAGGUUUUUAAAUGACAAGAGGGAAAGUGAAAAAUUAAGUUUUGACAGGGGGUUUUCUGUAAUUUAGCCUUAAUUAAAUUUCAAAUAUAUAAUGCUGUAUAUUUUCUAUAGAUUUAGGAAUAAAGAUAAUGCAACUAAUUUGUUUGGGUAAUUACCUUUCAACAUAGCACAGUUAACCUUAAGUACCAAAUACAUAUGCUGAAAAUAAUAUAGGCUGGAGAAUUAUGAAAUUGGAGGAGGAAAUCCUCCUGUGUACUUUAUAUACUAGUUUUUAAAAUUUUUUAUCUUAGCAUUAAUUAGUUAUUUCCCGCCAAAUAUAUCAUUCUAACUUUUGGGGGAAAACUUAUCAUUCUAUAUUUUAACUUUCAUUUAACUACAUUUUAACCUGGGUAGAGUGACGUAUCCUUAACAGUAAGGAUAGUUAUGAUAAUUUUAUAUGUUUGAAGAGGUGUUUAUUAUAUUUGAAAGUUUAGAGGAGUAUUCACGAAAUUUACAAAUUUGAUAAGCUUACUAAUGAAAUUGCCCUUUUCUUUAUAUCAAUAAUUGCAUAUAAUUUGGGGUAAACUUCAAAUACUAAUCCAGUGGUUUCGCACUUUUUUACUUUAAUAUCAUAUAGUUUAAAAAGUAUCACUUUAGUAUCCUAUGAUUUUAUUUUUCUCUUUUCGCCAGCACCUCCCAUAACUCUCCGUUAAAUUAUAUACAAAAAAAUUUCAGAUACCCCACCUAUGAUUUAUUGAAUAUUCACUUUAGUAUCCUGUGGUUUACCGAAUUUUUACUUUAGUACUCUAUGGUUUUAAUUUUAUCACUGAUAUAAUAGAAAAAUUAAUGGAGAGGAUAACGGAAAGAGAAAUUUAUUAAAUUUAUUAAAAUUAAUAAUGAAAUAAUAUAAAAGCUCAAAUGAAAAAAUAUAGGUUAAAGGGGGUGUCAA